rnacentral:rRNA from 1 species
UUUCGGUUGGGGAUGGGCUCGCGGCCUAUCAGCUUGUUGGUGAGGUAAUGGCUCACCAAGGCGUCGACGGGUAGCCGGCCUGAGAGGGUGACCGGCCACACUGGGACUGAGACACGGCCCAGACUCCUACGGGAGGCAGCAGUGGGGAAUAUUGCACAAUGGGCGCAAGCCUGAUGCAGCAACGCCGCGUGAGGGAUGACGGCCUUCGGGUUGUAAACCUCUUUUAGCAGGGAAGAAGCGAAAGUGACGGUACCUGCAGAAAAAGCGCCGGCUAACUACGUGCCAGCAGCCGCGGUAAUACGUAGGGCGCAAGCGUUAUCCGGAAUUAUUGGGCGUAAAGAGCUCGUAGGCGGUUUGUCGCGUCUGCUGUGAAAUCCGGAGGCUCAACCUCCGGCCUGCAGUGGGUACGGGCAGACUAGAGUGCGGUAGGGGAGAUUGGAAUUCCUGGUGUAGCGGUGGAAUGCGCAGAUAUCAGGAGGAACACCGAUGGCGAAGGCAGAUCUCUGGGCCGUAACUGACGCUGAGGAGCGAAAGGGUGGGGAGCAAACAGGCUUAGAUACCCUGGUAGUCCACCCCGUAAACGUUGGGAACUAGUUGUGGGGUCCAUU